AUUGAACGCUGGCGGCAGGCCUAACACAUGCAAGUCGAGCGGAUGAAGAGAGCUUGCUCUCUGAUUUAGCGGCGGACGGGUGAGUAAUGCCUAGGAAUCUGCCUGGUAGUGGGGGAUAACGUCCGGAAACGGGCGCUAAUACCGCAUACGUCCUACGGGAGAAAGCAGGGGACCUUCGGGCCUCGCGCUAUCAGAUGAGCCUAGGUCGGAUUAGCUAGUUGGUGAGGUAAUGGCUCACCAAGGCUACGAUCCGUAACUGGUCUGAGAGGAUGAUCAGUCACACUGGAACUGAGACACGGUCCAGACUCCUACGGGAGGCAGCAGUGGGGAAUAUUGGACAAUGGGCGAAAGCCUGAUCCAGCCAUGCCGCGUGUGUGAAGAAGGUCUUCGGAUUGUAAAGCACUUUAAGUUGGGAGGAAGGGCAGUAAGUUAAUACCUUGCUGUUUUGACGUUACUGACAGAAUAAGCACCGGCUAACUUCGUGCCAGCCGCCGCUGUAACAC
rnacentral:rRNA from 1 species